UUAUUCCAGCCUAAGAGAGUAUAAUUUAAUAACAAUUGUCUAGUUAAGUUAUUAACGUAAGAGAAAUCCGAUACAAUGAAAACGUUCACUAAUCGAAUUUGGUUCGUAACCCGUACACAACUUUUUUUGGACCCACAGUUUGCUGACUAUGGCAUUUUAGUGAUUCGAUUGUACCAAGCCCAUGACAACCAUAAAUCGAUACACAUUGUUCUUCGUAGCCAGGAUGUCCUGGGGGUCCUGGCCGAUAAGUGAAUAUCGCCCACUAUCAGUUGUAAGAGCUGUGAAA